GCUGGCGGCAGGCCUAACACAUGCAAGUCGAACGGAGUUAUAUUGUAGCUUGCUAUGGUAUAACUUAGUGGCAGACGGGUGAGUAAUGUAUAGGAAUCUACCUAGUAGUACGGAAUAAUUGUUGGAAACGGCAACUAAUACCGUAUACGCCCUACGGGGGAAAAAUUUAUUGCUAUUAGAUGAGCCUAUAUUAGAUUAGCUAGUUGGUGGAGUAAUAGCCUACCAAGGCAAUGAUCUAUAGCUGAUCUGAGAGGAUGAUCAGCCACACUGGAACUGAGAUACGGUCCAGACUCCUACGGGAGGCAGCAGUGGGGAAUAUUGGACAAUGGGCGAAAGCCUGAUCCAGCCAUGCCGCAUGAGUGAAGAAGGCCUUUGGGUUGUAAAGCUCUUUUAGUGAGGAAGAUAAUGACGGUACUCACAGAAGAAGUCCUGGCUAACUCCGUGCCAGCAGCCGCGGUAAUACGGAGAGGGCUAGCGUUAUUCGGAAUUAUUGGGCGUAAAGGGCGCGUAGGCGGAUUAGUAAGUUAAAAGUGAAAUCCCAAGGCUCAACCUUGGAAUUGCUUUUAAAACUGCUAAUCUAGAGAUUGAAAGAGGAUAGAGGAAUUCCUAGUGUAGAGGUGAAAUUCGUAAAUAUUAGGAGGAACACCAGUGGCGAAGGCGUCUAUCUGGUUCAAAUCUGACGCUGAGGCGCGAAGGCGUGGGGAGCAAACAGGAUUAGAUACCCUGGUAGUCCACGCUGUAAACGAUGAAUGUUAAAUAUGGGAAGUUUUACUUUCUGUAAUACAGCUACGCCUUUAACAUUCCCCCUGGGGACUACGGUCGCAAGAACUAAAA
rnacentral:rRNA from 1 species